rnacentral:tRNA from 1 species
GGGCUCGUAGCUUAGCUUGGUGGUUCUUUGAAAAAGAAAGGGCUGGGCAAAUAGAGCGUCUGGCUUCGGACCAGAAGGUCGGGGGUUCGAAUCCCUCCGAGCUCA